GGAAGCCGUUAAAUGCAGGGGCUUGGAAAAGGCUCCAUACCCACUCCUUCUCAACCCCCAGAGGCCCCUGUAGACUAUUUCACACUUCCCCAAACUAAGCGGCAGGAAGAGCCAUUUCCAUCACAUCAUGUCAAAGGUACUUGUCAAAAUGGGAUCCAACUAAUGAGAGAUGCAAGGAAACCCUGUACAGUGACAAGUUUUUGGAGCUUUUUUAUCAGUGAGUCCCUGUGUUGCAAAAGAAAUUGAAACGUUCUUCUCAGCUCAACUACCAGUUGAUGCUCAGGAGACUGAGCUUUGGAGUGUUAUAGAGAGACAUCCUCCCUCUGAGUGCCAAUGUCUUCAUGUGUAAAUGAGGGUAAUAACACUAAUCUCAUAGUUUGUUGUAAAGAUUAAAUGAAGUAAAAUCCUUAAAAUGCUUAAACCAUGUGGGCAUGUGUGCUAAGUAUGUAAUAAAAGAAGCCACUGCAA